rnacentral:tRNA from 1 species
GGGGUUGUAGCUCAGUGGUAGAGCACUUGCCUAACAUGUGUGAGGCACUGGGUUCAAUUCUCAGCACCA